UGAGCAACCUGCCCUUGACUCUGGAAUAACAGUUGGAAACAGCUGCUAAUACCGGAUACGACCUCUGACGGCAUCAUCUGGAGGUGGAAAGCUCCGACGGUCAAGGAUGGGCUCGCGGCCUAUCAGCUUGUUGGUGAGGUAACGGCCCACCAAGGCUUCGACGGGUAGCCGGCCUGAGAGGGCGACCGGCCACACUGGGACUGAGAUACGGCCCAGACUCCUACGGGAGCAG
rnacentral:rRNA from 1 species